AACCAGACAAAUUCCUAUCCCCAAUUCUUUCCCUUUCCUACCCGUCUUCUUCUUCUCUCCUUCUUUCCUUCUCUGCAAAACUACUUCACCUCAUCCCAGAAUUCAAAAUUCAAAAUUUAAAAGUUAAACUCUCUCUCUCUCUCCCUCUUAUUUACCAUGAACGAACACACAAAUGCUAUGACUUUUCAUCUUCAUUUUAGAGUGAUCCAUGGUUGGAUGUUCUUCAAGAACAGGUUUGUAUGUCUCAUCAACAGUCAGAUCUGCAUCAAUGUUAGGUGUUUUCGGUAGAGAUGGAAUUCCACCACUGAUCGGUGCCUGAUUUGGUGGGGUUAAACCCGUACUGCGGCGACAUAUCAGAUUCCAGUCAAGCCUAGGGUUCCGGCGAGUACUUAGUUUGCAGAGAAUGGGAUAGCUGCCCACCGCACUCGGGGGUGACACCAGGAAUUCCGGCACUUGAACUACCCAACCUCAAGUUUGGAGGAAUGCGAGAUAAAGUUUGGACGUCUGAAGGUUUUCCGUAUCCAUACAAAGAAGAUGAAGCUUUCUGAUGAUCUUUCAGGUUUGGUCCUUCACCAACGGGUUUAUGAGGGUUCUUCAACUUUCGGUACGGAGGAAACACAAAGAAGAGGUUGAUACAGCCCGUAUACACAAGGUUAUGUAAUUGUUUACCCAAAGCCCUCUAUCAUAAACCUGCUCGAUUCUCAACUGGGGGUUUAUGAUGUAUCAUUUUAAUAUUAGUUCUUUCUGUUCAAAUUUGUAUAUCGUGCUAAUUUAGAAGUGAUUGUAGGUUCAAGUACAAAAUAAGAUAAACGGAGAAGCCGAAUAAUUUCGGCAGUGGAAAUCAUCACGUGAAAAAGAAGGCAACUAAAUAAUGGAGGAGAAACGAGUAUGAAUGGCACAAAUUCCAGGUUCUUAAUCAAUCCAAAAAAUGGUGGGAUCUUUUCUAUAUUCACUUUCUUUUCAUGCAUCCUUAUAAGUUCUAAAAUUUCCCACUUAUUCUAUUAUAAUAAUUUUAUCUUUAUAAAAAAGAACCUUAGGUGUUUUAAAGGAUUAGAGAAGAGGCUCCACCUGCAACCCAAAAGUUAAAAGACUUGCUAGAAGCCUGGAAGUUUACAAGUACACAGGGAUAUAAUUUUUUUUGACCGAAUAACAUUUUCAGUCCAUGUGGUUCCAGCAACCAAUUUUUAAAGGACAGUGGCGAUAUUUUGUAAUUGAGAUAUGGUGUAUUACAUUGACUAGCAGUGGGGAUGGAGCAAAUGAACAUGUAUACAACUGAAUAUUAAAGGACAAUGGUGAUAUUUUGAUAUAUCCCGACGUUAUCAAAUGUAAUAUGUAAUUUUAUCAACCUAUCAUUAUAUGUGAAUCAUGGUUUUAUGUUCU